rnacentral:rRNA from 1 species
AGAGCUUGAUCCUGGCUCAGGAUGAACGCUGGCGGCGUGCCUAACACAUGCAAGUCGAGCGAUUCUCUUCGGAGAAGAGCGGCGGACGGGUGAGUAACGCGUGGGUAACCUGCCCUGUACACACGGAUAACAUACCGAAAGGUAUGCUAAUACGGGAUAAUAUAAGAAAUUCGCAUGUUUUUCUUAUCAAAGCUCCGGCGGUACAGGAUGGACCCGUGUCUGAUUAGCUAGUUGGUGAGGUAACGGCUCACCAAGGCCACGAUCAGUAGCCGACCUGAGAGGGUGAUCGGCCACAUUGGAACUGAGACACGGUCCAAACUCCUACGGGAGGCAGCAGUGGGGAAUAUUGCACAAUGGGCGAAAGCCUGAUGCAGCAACGCCGCGUGAGCGAUGAAGGCCUUCGGGUCGUAAAGCUCUGUCCUCAAGGAAGAUAAUGACGGUACUUGAGGAGGAAGCCCCGGCUAACUACGUGCCAGCAGCCGCGGUAAUACGUAGGGGGCUAGCGUUAUCCGGAUUUACUGGGCGUAAAGGGUGCGUAGGCGGUCUUUUAAGUCAGAAGUGAAAGGCUACGGCUUAACCGUAGUAAGCUUUUGAAACUGGAGGACUUGAGUGCAGGAGAGGAGAGUGGAAUUCCUAGUGUAGCGGUGAAAUGCGUAGAUAUUAGGAGGAACACCAGUAGCGAAGGCGGCUCUCUGGACUGUAACUGACGCUGAGGCACGAAAGCGUGGGGAGCAAACAGGAUUAGAUACCCUGGUAGUCCACGCCGUAAACGAUGAGUACUAGCUGUCGGAGGUUACCCCCUUCGGUGGCGCAGCUAACGCAUUAAGUACUCCGCCUGGGGAGUACGCUCGCAAGAGUGAAACUCAAAGGAAUUGACGGGGACCCGCACAAGUAGCGGAGCAUGUGGUUUAAUUCGAAGCAACGCGAAGAACCUUACCUAAGCUUGACAUCCUUUUGACCGAUGCCUAAUCGCAUCUUUCCCUUCGGGGACAGAAGUGACAGGUGGUGCAUGGUUGUCGUCAGCUCGUGUCGUGAGAUGUUGGGUUAAGUCCCGCAACGAGCGCAACCCUUGCCUUUAGUUGCCAUCAUUAAGUUGGGCACUCUAGAGGGACUGCCAGGGAUAACCUGGAGGAAGGUGGGGAUGACGUCAAAUCAUCAUGCCCCUUAUGCUUAGGGCUACACACGUGCUACAAUGGGCGGUACAGAGGGCAGCAAAGUCGUGAGGCCAAGCUAAUCCCUUAAAGCCAUUCUCAGUUCGGAUUGUAGGCUGAAACUCGCCUACAUGAAGCUGGAGUUACUAGUAAUCGCAGAUCAGAAUGCUGCGGUGAAUGCGUUCCCGGGUCUUGUACACACCGCCCGUCACACCAUGGGAGUUGGGGGCGCCCGAAGCCGGCUAGCUAACCUUUUGGAAGCGGUCGUCGAAGGUGAAACCAAUAACUGGGGUGAAGUCGUAACAAGGUA